rnacentral:lncRNA from 1 species
AGACCGGGCAGUGAAACCCGGGUACGACAAGCACAGGACAGACCCCAGCACGGCCCUAGACCCCACCACGCACCCGCUGGCAAGUCAUUUCUGAGACCUCUUCCUUUCAUCCAGAGAUAGUAUGAUCCUAUGGGGCCUGGCUGGGCUGCCCUGGAGCUCACAGGGGACACUGGCUGAGAGUCCUCCACCGUGUGUAACACCCGGAGCAAAGGCAAGGGAUUCUCCUGGUUAAAUACACUCGGGGUGGAGCCAAGCUUCCUACAGAUCUCCUGCACACAUGGAAGGCUGGUGCCCACAUGGAAGGCUGGUGCCCACACAGAAGGCUGGUGCACACACGGAAGGCUGGUGCACACACAGAGGGCUGAUGCACACACGGAAGGCUGGCGCACACACGGAGGGCUGGCACACACACGGAAGGCUGGCGCACACACGGAGGGCUGGCACACACACAGAAGGCUGGCGCACACACGGACGGCUGGCUUCUCUUCCACCUGGACGCCUGGGAAAUGCUGACCCUGGAAUGAAAGGGGCCAGGCAAGUCCCAGCAGCGGCUGACAACGGGUCAGCCCCUGGUCCACAGCUACAGCUCGAGCCGGGCUCCUAUGCCACUACAUCGUCAUCUUAUCUCUUCAGACCGGAAGGAGGCAAUGGCUUCCUGUGGUACCGGUGCCUGGAGCCUCCACAUCCCUGCCCACAGCUCUGUACACGGUCCCUUCAUUAGAACUCGCCUUGGUGGGCCCUUGUCAGCAGAAUUCUGCUUCCCGCAGAACCCUGGCUAUACGUGUAUGUCUUUGCUAAAAAGUCUUGCAGAUGCCCAGAGGUGGGAAGAAAUAAUCUAGCUGCAAAUCCGGCUCUUCCCCCUGCUGUGUCACUGAAUCGUUCUAUGCCUCAGUUUCCUCAUCUGUAACUUCAGGGGGCUGAUGGACAGGAUGACUCCUGAUAAUGUUGAAAGCACCCAGGCCAGGCUGCUCCGCACAGUGGCUUGCUGUGACCUUGAAUUUAAACAACUGUAGCAUCCGCAAAACAAUGACAUUUUCCGGAAACGAACGGCCAUCCACCUUCAGACAGUGACUGUCGAUUUCUGAGCAAGGCCUUGGCAUUCUGUGCCCCCUCUCCUGCUGGACCUGCACCCUCCACCUGCGCCAGCCCUUCCGUUUGAUGGGCAGGCUUGAGAGGCAGAGAGAACAGGUUUGGUUUUCC